AAUUGAUAUAGCUAGACUUGCACCAGUAUAUUUUUGCCAAUAUCCUGUUUUAGAUUCAUAAUUCUGUGAAACUUGCCAAGUAGAAAAAUUAGCUGAAAUACUGAACUACCAGGAUGAAAUACUUUCAGUAUUAUUUUGUUUCACAUACUGACCGUCUUGCUGGAGGGAAAUGAAAUGUUAAAAUUUAAUAUGCUGAACAAUACGUG